UACGUAGGGGGCUAGCGUUGUCCGGAAUCAUUGGGCGUAAAGCGCGCGUAGGCGGCCCGGUAAGUCCGCUCUGAAAGUCCAGGGCUCAACCCUGGGAUGCCGGUCGAUACUGCCGGACUAGAGUUCGGAAGAGGCGAGUGGAAUUCCCGGUGUAGCGGUGAAAUGCGCAGAUAUCAGGAGGAACACCGGUGGCGAAGGCGGGGUCUCUGGGCCGAAAUUGACGCUGGAGGAGCGAAAGCGUUGGGGAGCAAACAGG
rnacentral:rRNA from 1 species